rnacentral:rRNA from 1 species
GCCUACCAUAAAUUUUGCUCGCCAAAAAAGUAUAAGCAUAGAGCUGAAAACUUUAAGGACCUGGCGGUACUCAAUACCAACCUAGAGGGGCCUGUCCAAUAAUCGAUAAUCCACGAAAAACCUAACCCCUUCUAGCCACAUACAGUCUAUAUACCGCCGUCGAAAGCACAUCUUACAAGAGAUGCAGCAAAAAGUUCUACCACAAACACGUCAGGUCAAGGUGUAGCACAUGGAGGGGGUGAGAUUGGCCACACUACCACACCAAAAAUAAACAUGAAAACCACUAACAAGAAUUUAGUAGUAAGUUGGAUAAUGAGUAUCCACCUGAAUCAUUAUAGCUCUAGAGUACGC